GACGUAGGGGGCAAACGUUGCUCGGAAUUACUGGGCGUAAAGGGUGUGUAGGUGGCUGAGUAAGUCAAAGAUGAAAUCCCAAGGCUCAACCUUGGAAUUGUUUUUGAAACUGCUCAGCUUGAGGAUAGUUGAGGAGGAUGGAAUUCCCGGUGGAGCGGUGAAAUGCGUAGAUAUCGGGAGGAACACCAGAGGCGAAGGCGAUUCUCUGAACUAUUCCUGACACUGAGACACGAAAGCUAGGGGAGCAAACGGG
rnacentral:rRNA from 1 species